rnacentral:rRNA from 1 species
UACGGGGGGAGCAAGCGUUGUUCGGAUUUACUGGGCGUAAAGGGCGCGUAGGCGGCCAGCACAAGUCAGUUGUGAAAUCUCCGGGCUUAACUCGGAAAGGUCAACUGAUACUGUGCGGCUAGAGUGCAGAAGGGGCAACUGGAAUUCUCGGUGUAGCGGUGAAAUGCGUAGAUAUCGAGAGGAACACCUGCGGCGAAGGCGGGUUGCUGGGCUGACACUGACGCUGAUGCGCGAAAGCCAGGGGAGCGAAUGGG